rnacentral:sRNA from 1 species
GGGCGUGGAAACAGCUCUGCACCCCUUCUUGAUUGCUGAACACUAUGAUGUGAAUAUUUCUACAUUGCCACCACCUUUAUCAUUUUUAGUGACUGCUUAAUAUACCAUAGGGUGGAUGCCUAUAAUUUCCUUAGACUUCGUUUUGAAACAACAUAGCACAUGAACCUCUUCAAAGAUGAAUAAUGAGAAAGCAAAACCUUCUGCUUCGUUAUAGAAGGAAUUACCCAAUCUCUCCCCUAUCUUGUAAAAGAAGAGUGUUCACCACGUGGCCGCAACGAGAGGAGAGAUUUCCAUGGAGCUGUCAUGAGGGCCUUGGAUGACAUGCACCAUGAAGGCAGAGACACAUUGGCCCGGGAGGAGCUGAGGCAGGGCCUGAGUGAACUCCCAGCCAUCCACGACCUUCAUCAAGGCAUCCUGGAGGAGCUGGAGGAAAGGCUGUCAAAUUGGGAGAGCCAACAGAAGGUAGCUGACGUCUUCCUGGCCCGGGAGCAGGGGUUUGAUCACCAUGCCACUCACAUCCUGCAGUUCGACAGGUACCUAGGUCUGCUCAGUGAGAAUUGCCUCCACUCUCCCCGGCUGGCAGCUGCUGUCCGUGAAUUUGAGCAGAGUAUACAAGGAGGCAGCCAGACUGCGAAGCAUCGGCUGCUGCGGGUGGUUCAACGCCUCUUCCAGUACCAAGUGCUCCUCACAGACUAUUUAAACAACCUUUGUCCGGACUCCGCCGAGUACGACAACACACAGGGUGCGCUGAGCCUCAUCUCCAAAGUCACAGACCGUGCCAACGACAGCAUGGAGCAAGGGGAAAACCUGCAGAAGCUGGUCCACAUUGAGCACAGCGUCCGGGGCCAAGGGGAUCUCCUCCAGCCAGGAAGGGAGUUUCUGAAGGAAGGGACGCUGAUGAAAGUAACAGGGAAAAACAGACGGCCCCGGCACCUAUUUCUGAUGAACGACGUGCUCCUGUACACCUAUCCCCAGAAGGAUGGGAAGUACCGGCUGAAGAACACAUUGGCUGUGGCCAACAUGAAGGUCAGCCGCCCUGUGAUGGAGAAAGUGCCCUACGCUCUAAAGAUUGAGACUUCCGAGUCCUGCCUGAUGCUGUCUGCGAGCUCCUGUGCAGAGAGGGACGAGUGGUAUGGCUGUCUGAGCAGAGCCCUCCCUGAGGACUACAAGGCCCAGGCGCUGGCUGCAUUCCACCAUAGCGUGGAGAUACGAGAGAGGCUGGGGGUUAGCCUUGGGGAGAGGCCCCCCACCCUGGUGCCUGUCACACACGUCAUGAUGUGCAUGAACUGCGGCUGCGACUUCUCCCUCACCCUGCGGCGUCAUCACUGUCACGCCUGUGGCAAGAUCGUGUGCCGGAACUGUUCGCGGAACAAGUACCCGCUGAAGUACCUGAAGGACAGGAUGGCCAAGGUCUGCGACGGCUGCUUCGGGGAGCUGAAGAAGCGGGGCAGGGCUGUCCCGGGCCUGAUGAGAGAGCGGCCUGUGAGCAUGAGCUUCCCGCUGUCUUCACCCCGCUUCUCGGGCAGUGCCUUUUCAUCCGUCUUCCAGAGCAUUAACCCCUCGACCUUCAAGAAGCAGAAGAAAGUCCCUUCAGCCCUGACAGAGGUGGCUGCCUCUGGAGAGGGCUCUGCCAUCAGUGGCUAUCUCAGCCGGUGUAAGAGGGGCAAGCGGCACUGGAAGAAGCUCUGGUUUGUCAUCAAAGGCAAAGUUCUCUACACCUACAUGGCCAGUGAGGACAAAGUGGCCAUGGAGAGUAUGCCUCUGCUAGGCUUCACCAUUGCUCCAGAAAAGGAAGAGGGCAGCAGCGAAGUAGGACCUAUUUUUCACCUUUACCACAAGAAAACCCUAUUUUAUAGCUUCAAAGCAGAAGAUACCAAUUCAGCUCAGAGGUGGAUCGAGGCCAUGGAAGAUGCGAGUGUGUUAUAGCAGUUAAUCAAGCAUGUGGACUUGUAACAAAUUCUUAGGUCAAUAUGUGAAUGCUUUUAGAAGCUAAGCUGUGGCUCAACUCAUCCGGACACACACCUGGAUUCAGCAAUGAGGCCUGACCUUUUUUGCUAUAACCGCCCCACCACUCCCCUGCCCUUGCCAACAUCUUCAUGAGUGGAAUCCUUAAGGGAUAUUUAUGGACCUCUCCUUUUCUGUGUUUUCCACCCCUACCCCCACCCGCCACCCGGUAAUAAACUAUUUCCUUACCCCGCA